UACGUAGGGGGCAAGCGUUGUCCGGAAUUAUUGGGCGUAAAGAGCGUGUAGGCGGCUUGUUAAGUCUUGCGUGAAAUCUCGGGGCUCAACCCCGAGCGGUCGUGAGAAACUGGCAGGCUAGAGUGCGGGAGAGGAGAGUGGAAUUCCUGGUGUAGCGGUGAAAUGCGCAGAUAUCAGGAGGAACACCGGUGGCGAAGGCGGGUCUCUGGGCCGAUACUGACGCUGAGGCGCGAAAGCGUGGGGAGCAAACGGG
rnacentral:rRNA from 1 species